ACUCCUACGGGAGGCAGCAGUGGGGAAUAUUGCACAAUGGGCGCAAGCCUGAUGCAGCCAUGCCGCGUGUGUGAAGAAGGCCUUCGGGUUGUAAAGCACUUUCAGUCGUGAGGAAGGUAGUGUAGUUAAUAGCUGCAUUAUUUGACGUUAGCGACAGAAGAAGCACCGGCUAACUCCGUGCCAGCAGCCGCGGUAAUACGGAGGGUGCGAGCGUUAUCCGGAAUUAUUGGGUUUAAAGGGUCCGUAGGCGGGCCGGUAAGUCAGGGGUGAAAGUCUGUAGCUCAACUAUAGAACUGCCUUUGAUACUGCCGGUCUUGAGUCACGGUGAAGUUGCCGGAAUAUGUGGUGUAGCGGUGAAAUGCAUAGAUAUCACAUAGAACACCGAUUGCGAAGGCAGGUGACUAACCGUGUACUGACGCUGAUGGACGAAAGCGUGGGGGAGCGAACAGGAUUAGAUACCCUGGUAGGCUCUGCU
rnacentral:rRNA from 1 species